rnacentral:rRNA from 1 species
AGAGUUUGAUCAUGGCUCAGGAUAAACGCUGGCGGCGUGCCUAACACAUGCAAGUCGAACGAUCCCGCAAGGGAGAGUGGCGGAAGGGUGAGUAACACGUGGGAAUCCACCUCCUCGCAGGGAACAACCUCUCGAAAGAGAGGCUAAUACCCAAAAGGGUCAGAAAUGAUCAGAGUCGAAAGGCGUGAGGAGAGGAGCCCGCGGCCCAUCAGCUAGUUGGUGAGGUAAUGGCUUACCAAGGCUACGACGGGUAGGGGAUCUGAGAGGAUGUCCCCCACACUGGAACUGAAACACGGUCCAGACGCCUACGGGUGGCAGCAGUGAGGAAUAUUGGACAAUGGGCGAAAGCCCGAUCCAGCAACGCCGCGUGGAGGAUGAAGGCCUUCGGGUCGUAAACUUCUUUAGAGGGAGACGAGAAAGGACGGUAUCCCUAGAAUAAGCGACGGCAAACUACGUG